rnacentral:tRNA from 1 species
AGAUCCGUGGUGUAACGGCAACAUGCCCGGCUCCAACCCGGAGGAUCAGGGUUCAAAUCCUUGCGGAUCUG